CAGUCGCCGCGGGAAUACGUAGGUGGCAAGCGUUGUCCGGAAUUAUUGGGCGUAAAGGGCUCGCAGGCGGUUUCUUAAGUCUGAUGUGAAAGCCCCCGGCUCAACCGGGGAGGGUCAUUGGAAACUGGGAAACUUGAGUGCAGAAGAGGAGAGUGGAAUUCCACGUGUAGCGGUGAAAUGCGUAGAGAUGUGGAGGAACACCAGUGGCGAAGGCGACUCUCUGGUCUGUAACUGACGCUGAGGAGCGAAAGCGUGGGGAGCGAACAGGAUUAGAUACCCCGGUAGUCCCUGUUUCUUAUAC
rnacentral:rRNA from 1 species